AAUUUUUUAUGGAGAGUUUGAUCCUGGCUCAGGAUGAACGCUGGCGGCGUGCCUAAUACAUGCAAG
rnacentral:rRNA from 1 species